rnacentral:rRNA from 1 species
AGUGAACGCUGGCGGUAGGCCUAACACAUGCAAGUCGAACGGCAGCACAGUAAGAGCUUGCUCUUACGGGUGGCGAGUGGCGGACGGGUGAGGAAUACAUCGGAAUCUACUUUUUCGUGGGGGAUAACGUAGGGAAACUUACGCUAAUACCGCAUACGACCUACGGGUGAAAGCAGGGGAUCUUCGGACCUUGCGCGAUUGAAUGAGCCGAUGUCGGAUCAGCUAGUUGGCGGGGUAAAGGCCCACCAAGGCGACGAUCCGUAGCUGGUCUGAGAGGAUGAUCAGCCACACUGGAACUGAGACACGGUCCUGACUCCUACGGGAGGCAGCAGUGGGGAAUAUUGGACAAUGGGCGCAAGCCUGAUCCAGCCAUACCGCGUGGGUGAAGAAGGCCUUCGGGUUGUAAAGCCCUUUUGUUGGGAAAGAAAAGCAGCAGGUUAAUACCCCGCUGUUCUGACGGUACCCAAAGAAUAAGCACCGGCUAACUUCGUG